GUCUACGGCCAUGCCACCCUGAACAAGCUCGAUGUCUGAUCUCAGAAGCUAAGCAGGAUCGGGCCUGGUUAGUACUAGGAUAGGAGACCACCUAGGAAGACUAGGUGCUGUAGGCA
rnacentral:rRNA from 1 species